rnacentral:tRNA from 1 species
UUUUAGAAAGUAUAUUGCUGUAUAUUUGCCUUCCAAGCAAAAGGACUCAAAAA